CUAAAAUAGAAGAAUUAAAAAAAAAAUUGGAACUUGUCCAAUAUGAGCUCAUCAAACAACUGAGAUUUAGCAGACAACUUGAUGCUACUUUCCAUGUCGACCAAUGCAGUCAUUAAUAAUUAUGUCUAUAAAAUCUAGAAAAAAUACGAUGUCCAGAGUUUGCAGAUCGGAGGCAAAAUUUAAAAUUGUCUCAAAAAGGAGGCACCUAAUUGUUUAAACAACAUUAGUGAAGUACUGACCGGAAGAAAAACAACACUAAGCUUCAAUUAUGGAAAGUAACCAUGGAGCAA
rnacentral:lncRNA from 1 species